UCUUCCCAUGCCUCCUGCAUUGUAUUGCUGGUGUCAGCUAUAAAGGGGACGUAACAGAAGACAGUGAGGCUAGCAAAGUUAACUCCUGAAUAGGUAGCUUUGUAUUAUUAUAACUAACUGUGUUUUGGUUCCAAGAAGUGAUACGAUUUGUGUUUUAAUAUUUAAAGUUUUCAUUUUCACAAGCAAAAGAUAACAAACCUUAAAUAACGUUGUUGGGACAAGGCGAUGCCUUUUGACAUGUCCUGUUGGCCAGUGGGACUGACAGACAAAGGCUGGCAGGAAACGGGGAGUCUUUUGUGAAGAUGUGUUUCUUAGAAGUGAUAUUGCCAAUGGGUGGGAUUGUGUGUUGAUCUAGAGGCGGCAGAGUCUCACCUUGGGGGCAGCUAUGAAGGCACCCUGCUUUGUAUUCUUAAAGAUUGAGCUCCAGAGAGUUAGGACCUAGAUCUGUAAAAGACGAUCCUUCUAGGAAAGCUGCUUUAGGACUGACCAACCCUGAGCUUUCAAGCAUGGCCACUUUGGUUCACCUGUGUAGCCAUGUGCCAAGUUCAGAAGUUGUCAAUAGCUAUUAACUUGUGAUUGCGUUGAACAAGGAAGGGAAAAUGUUGGAUACUUUGAACCACUAUUUCUGUGCAAAUAUAAAAGUAAAAACAAUAGACGUUUCUACAAGGUCUGCCUUUAGAGUGUGUGAUUGCUACACCUUUUAUCCUUUUGAGGAGAACAAAGCCACCGUGUCCACCCAAUAGUUUGGAAAAGAAAGUUUCCUUAUUUAGCUGUAUUGUUUAGCUGGAGAGGGUGCCCUGAGAUGUCCUACAGCAGUGGCGUUAGUAAUAAUGUGUUAGUGUUCUCCUUCAGAAUUGGUGUCCCUGUGUGUCCUUUACAGUUCCCACAGAUAACUUUUAGAAAUCAAGUACUUUUGUAGAGAAGGGCCAGGUUUUCUUUGGGGUUUCUAAGGAACAUAAAUUGCUUGAACUUGUCCUAUGAAGUCCAAAGCCAGAAGAAUUUCAGACCAUACUGCCAAGCAAAUAGGCUAUAGCUUUUCACGGGUCUCCUGGGAGAGCUUAAAACUUGGGGCAAAACCCUGAUUUUCACAGAUCUUCCCAUGUCUCUCUUUGGAAAUACUCAAAACCACAUUGCCCCCUCUGCUGUGCUUGACCCCCCCCCCCAUUGUGUCGAAUCUUUGCAGAGAAACCUGUAGAUGUGGUUCAUAGGUAUAUUGAGUAAGUUUCUGUGUAAAAACAGUGAGUGUGUAGUAUGUAAAUACGUUAAAUUAUUAUGCUAGAAAAAUAAAGGUUCCAGACCAUGCUGCCCGAUGUUUGUUCUCUGCUUAUAGUGACACCUACUGGACGAGCCGAGGAACCUCUGCAGAAGAAAAAAAGGAAGGGAAUUCACAAAACCCUAAUCGUUUUUGAUGGGAUGUACUGCCUGCUCCCCUAGCUCACUCUUAAGCAAUCUCAAAUAAAGCAGUGUCCGACUGGUCCUAAGAUCUGUCUUUAAACGAGUACCUUUGCCCCUUGAGGACACUGCACUCCAGGUCUUGUGAAGACCAACUGGAAAUCGGCAACUUAACCAUACCGAAAAUAUGUGGGAGGUAGGAUUGGUUUUCUUGUCUUUGAAGACUUGCAAACCCUCAUUUCUUGGGUGUUUUAAAAGGAGAUGUCCUGUGACUAUAAGUUAUCUGUGUUGAAGAAAUAGAGGGUAGAAUAAUUGGGAGAAGAAACAGGCUCAGGAAAGCGCCACCUGGUGCCAGGCGGGAUGCUGAGUGGAGUAAGCCCGGGCAGAGGGACCCAGAGUUCUUGAGUAGAGAGCUUGCUGUGUGUUUUGCAGUUCAGAGCACAUAAAUGGGAAAUUAUAUGUCAACUGGAUCGUGUGAGCUACAGAAGCCAAAGAUACAGUUACCGGUGCUGAGUAGCUGUGUGUAUAACAGAAGUGUACACACCCAGGUUUUCUCCAUAGCAGACAUCCAGUUUUCCAGAUACCCAGAGAAGAUUUCUGUUGUCCUAAACAGCAAGCGAAUUUGAGUUUUCUGGAAUUCAAGAAUCUAAGAAUCCUGUAUGUUGCCUGAUUAAUUUCAUUUUUUAAUGUGUGUGUAUGUCGCUAUUUUGUUGCCUAGAGUGGACCAAGGUAAGACAGUCUUAGAUCAUUAUAGAUUUACCCUGUAUUCCUAUAACCAAAUGUCAAUUUCUGUGUGAAUCAAGGAGCCGCUCUCCGCCCCACCCCCGCCCCCAUCCCCAAGAAGGCAGAAAGGAAGACGUUCAGAAUUCUGUUUCUACUUCCCGUUUCUCUUUGUCCUUUAAAGGGAAAUUAAAUCAAUGAUGUGGGUUGUUUUUUUUAAUUCACUCCCCUUCCUCCAGAGAACCCUUAGUAUGCUCUUUCACAUUGUCAACUACAUAAUACAAUGCUCCCCCAAUGUGCUGUCACCGUAUUUGGGGUGGUGGUGUCUGUGUCUUCUCUCUUGUAGCUUGCUUGCAGACUGACAGAGACUGGCACCCAGGGCCAGCAGGACACACUGCAGACAUCCAGUUCUCGCUCUGGUUUUAUGAGAAUGAGGUCAGAUCAGCUGAGUAGACUGAUUCUGUUAUCCAGAACAUAUUAAGGGAGGCCUAGCAAACUACCAUGAGAAGGAAACAAAAACGGGGCAGUGUUUCCUAAUUGAAGGUUCUUUUUUCUAUGGUCAUGAAUGAAUUUAAUGGCUAAGCAUGUCUUCCCAACCUCUAAUUAAUUCUUUAUAAGUGAUCUAGCUAUGAUCCAUUUAUUAAAAAAAAAAAUGAAAACAGUCCAAAUUU
rnacentral:lncRNA from 1 species